AUGCCGUUUGGUGUAAUGGUAGCACAAGAGCCUCCAAACCUCUUGGAGAGGGUUCGAUUCCCUCAGCGGAUGCCA
rnacentral:tRNA from 1 species